AAUGCAGUAGGGAUGGGAGAAAUGACAGACAUCAUUUCUGCCAUAUUCCAGUGGCUAGAAUAGAAGCAAGACCUUAGAUGCAGCUUCUAGGAGGGGGUCAGACAAUGGUGGAGAUGCAGGCAGACAUCAAGGCUGAGCCAGAAACUCCUAAAACCAGGAUGUACGGUACACAGUGAAAAGCAGGGAAAGUAAGACAUGGGAGAGAGGGAUGGAGACUUGAGCAGAGGUGAAAUGUUCUACAUGGAUCCUCAAGAGGACACUUUCAAAAGAACUACAGGUUCAUGCUAGCCCUCUUCCACAGCCUUGGGAAGACUUCUGUUCCC
rnacentral:lncRNA from 1 species